GGAGAGUUUGAUCCUGGCUCAGGACGAACGCUGGCGGCGCGCUUAACACAUGCAAGUCGAGCGAGAACCAGGACUUCGGUCCCGGGGACAGCGGCGAACGGGUGAGUAACACGUGGGUAAUCUGCCCUCGAUUCUGGGAUAGCCCGGGGAAACUCGGAUUAAUACCGGAUAGCCUUUCGAGCUUUCGGGCUUGAAAGAAAAGGUAGCUUCGGCCUCCGAUCGAGGAUGAGCCCGCGGUGGAUUAGCUUGUUGGCGGGGUAAUGGCCCACCAAGGCGACGAUCCAUAGCUGGUCUGAGAGGACGAUCAGCCACACUGGGACUGAGACACGGCCCAGACUCCUACGGGAGGCAGCAGUGGGGAAUCUUGCGCAAUGGGCGAAAGCCUGACGCAGCGACGCCGCGUGGGGGAAGAAGGCCUUAGGGUUGUAAACCUCUUUCAGGUGGGACGAAGCCACUCGGGUUAAUAGCCCAGAGGGUGACGGUACCGCCAGAAGAAGCCCCGGCUAACUACGUGCCAGCAGCCGCGGUAAUACGUAGGGGGCAAGCGUUGUCCGGAUUUAUUGGGCGUAAAGAGCGUGUAGGCGGCCAGGUAGGUGGGUUGUGAAAACUGGAGGCUCAACCUUCAGACGUCGACCCAAACCCCCUGGCUAGAGUCCGGAAGAGGAGAGUGGAAUUCCUGGUGUAGCGGUGAAAUGCGCAGAUAUCAGGAAGAACACCCGUGGCGAAGGCGGCUCUCUGGGACGGUACUGACGCUGAGACGCGAAAGCGUGGGGAGCGAACAGGAUUAGAUACCC
rnacentral:rRNA from 1 species